rnacentral:lncRNA from 1 species
AUGUUCUUGCUACUGAAUAAACAUGAUGUAUACCCCAUGUUAUCAAGAGGAUUCAUAGAUGAACAUGUGCUGGGUGCCUCUAAAGAAAGUAGAUCAACAAGUUUUUUUCUUUUGGUGAAGAGCAGAUGGGCUCAAAAUAAACCUCUGGUUCAUCAUACACGCUCAGACAACCCUCCAGGAAAGGGAGGUCAGGAAAGGGAGGUUUUUGCCCUCCUUUGCAAGGUCUGUCCUGAGAUGUCAUUGUCCGGGCUUGGGAAGUACAGUCUCUGUCUGCCACACCAGGAAUGCCGUCAGCUUGAGAGGCAUGAGCCAGGAUCCAGCCUUAGAGAGCACUGCCAUCUCCUGGAAAACCCUCUAUACAUGAGGCCUGCUGUCUUCGCUCCUCCAACGCCACAAAUCAGAAAACAAGGCCUUGGUCACGGCCCUCUAUCUUUAGCACCAAAGGUCUGGGUACACAGAACCUUCAUCUUCUGCCCCUUCAAAUUGGAACACGCCAAUUCCUGAAGGAAAUGAAAAGUUAGGAAACUAAGAGAAGAUUCAGCUAGCUGUUGCUGCAAUUGUGCUGUGUAACAAACAACUACACGUUCU